UACAGAGGUCCCGAGCGUUGUUCGGAUUCACUGGGCGUAAAGGGUGCGUAGGCGGUUCUGAAAGUCUGAUGUGAAAUCUCCAGGCCCAACCUGGAAACGGCAUUAGAAACUACAGGGCUAGAGGCUUGGAGGGGGAACUGGAAUGCUCGGUGUAGCAGUGAAAUGCGUAGAGAUCGAGCGGAACACCAGUGGCGAAGGCGAGUUCCUGGACAAGUCCUGACGCUGAGGCACGAAAGCCCAGGGGAGCAAACAGG
rnacentral:rRNA from 1 species